UGGGGAAUAUUGCACAAUGGGCGCAAGCCUGAUGCAGCCAUGCCGCGUGUGUGAAGAAGGCCUUCGGGUUGUAAAGCACUUUCAGCGAGGAGGAAGGUGGUGAACUUAAUACGUUCAUCAAUUGACGUUACUCGCAGAAGAAGCACCGGCUAACUCCGUGCCAGCAGCCGCGGUAAUACGGAGGGUGCAAGCGUUAAUCGGAAUUACUGGGCGUAAAGCGCACGCAGGCGGUUUGUUAAGUCAGAUGUGAAAUCCCCGGGCUCAACCUGGGAACUGCAUUUGAAACUGGCAAGCUAGAGUCUCGUAGAGGGGGGUGGAAUUCCAGGUGUAGCGGUGAAAUGCGUAGAGAUCUGGAGGAAUACCGGUGGCGAAGGCGGCCCCCUGGACGAAGACUGACGCUCAGGUGCGAAAGCGUGGGGAGCAAACAGGAUUAGAUACCCCGGUAGUCCACGCUGUAAACGAUGUCGAUUUGGAGGUUGUGCCCUUGAGGCGUGGCUUCCGGAGCUAACGCGUUAAAUCGACCGCCUGGGGAGUACGGCCGCAAGGUUAAAACUCAAAGGAAUUG
rnacentral:rRNA from 1 species